GGUGGAUGCCCUGGCAGUCAGAGGCGAUGAAGGACGUGCUAAUCUGCGAUAAGCGUCGGUAAGGUGAUAUGAACCGUUAUAACCGGCGAUUUCCGAAUGGGGAAACCCAGUGUGUUUCGACACACUAUCAUUAACUGAAUCCAUAGGUUAAUGAGGCGAACCGGGGGAACUGAAACAUCUAAGUACCCCGAGGAAAAGAAAUCAACCGAGAUUCCCCCAGUAGCGGCGAGCGAACGGGGAGCAGCCCAGAGCCUGAAUCAGUGUGUGUGUUAGUGGAAGCGUCUGGAAAGGCGCGCGAUACAGGGUGACAGCCCCGUACACAAAAAUGCACAUGCUGUGAGCUCGAUGAGUAGGGCGGGACACGUGGUAUCCUGUCUGAAUAUGGGGGGACCAUCCUCCAAGGCUAAAUACUCCUGACUGACCGAUAGUGAACCAGUACCGUGAGGGAAAGGCGAAAAGAACCCCGGCGAGGGGAGUGAAAAAGAACCUGAAACCGUGUACGUACAAGCAGUGGGAGCACGCUUAGGCGUGUGACUGCGUACCUUUUGUAUAAUGGGUCAGCGACUUAUAUUCUGUAGCAAGGUUAACCGAAUAGGGGAGCCGAAGGGAAACCGAGUCUUAACUGGGCGUUAAGUUGCAAG
rnacentral:rRNA from 1 species